UCCCUGGAGGACUAGUGGUUAGGCCAUGUGCUCACACCACCUUGGCCCGAGUUCGAUUCCAGGCCAGGGAA
rnacentral:tRNA from 1 species